rnacentral:rRNA from 1 species
CCUACGGGUGGCAGCAGUAGGGAAUCUUCCACAAUGGACGAAAGUCUGAUGGAGCAACGCCGCGUGAGUGAAGAAGGGUUUCGGCUCGUAAAGCUCUGUUGGUAGUGAAGAAAGAUAGAGGUAGUAACUGGCCUUUAUUUGACGGUAAUUACUUAGAAAGUCACGGCUAACUACGUGCCAGCAGCCGCGGUAAUACGUAGGUGGCAAGCGUUGUCCGGAUUUAUUGGGCGUAAAGCGAGUGCAGGCGGUUCAAUAAGUCUGAUGUGAAAGCCUUCGGCUCAACCGGAGAAUUGCAUCAGAAACUGUUGAACUUGAGUGCAGAAGAGGAGAGUGGAACUCCAUGUGUAGCGGUGAAAUGCGUAGAUAUUAGGAGGAACACCAGUGGCGAAGGCGGCCUGCUGGGCUUUUACUGACGCUGAGGCUCGAAAGUGUGGGGAGCAAACAGGAUUAGAUACCCCUGUAGUC